GGUGCUGUGGCUUAGCGGUUAAAGCGCCUGUCUUGUAAACAGGAUAUCCUGGGUUACAAUCCCAGCAGCACCU